GGAGUUAGCCGGUGCUUCUUCUGUGAGUGAUGUCCUUCCUGCCGGCUAUUAACCCGCAGGCCUUCUUCCUCACUGAAAGUGCUUUACAACCCGAAGGCCUUCUUCACACACGCGGCAUGGCUGGAUCAGGGUUGCCCCCAUUGUCCAAUAUUCCCCACUGCUGCCUCCCGUAGGAGUCUGGGCCGUGUCUCAGUCCCAGUGUGGCUGAUCAUCCUCUCAGACCAGCUACGGAUCGUCGCCUUGGUGAGCCGUUACCUCACCAACCAGCUAAUCCGACAUAGGCUCAUCCGAUAGCGCGAGGCCCGAAGGUCCCCCGCUUUCCCCCGUAGGGCGUAUGCGGUAUUAGCCUGGGUUUCCCCAGGUUUAUCCCCCACUACCGGGCAGAUUCCUAUGCAUUACUCACCCGUCCGCCGCUCGCCACCAGGGAGCAAGCUCCCCGUGCUGCCGCUCGACUUGCAUGUGUAGCNGCGCNGCGUCAUCUGAGCGAGAUACAACUACUGA
rnacentral:rRNA from 1 species